rnacentral:rRNA from 1 species
AUUGAACGCUGGCGGCAGGCCUAACACAUGCAAGUCGAGCGGAGCGGCGGACGGGCGAGUAAUGCCUAGGAAUCUGCCUGGUCGUUGGGGAUAACGUCCGGAUACGGGCGCUAAUACCGCAUACUAUCUGUUGAGCCUAGGUCGGAUUAGCUAGUUGGUGGGGUAAAGGCCUACCAAGGCGACGAUCCGUAACUGGUCUGAGAGGAUGAUCAGUCACACUGGAACUGAGAAACGGUCCAGACUCCUACGGGAGGCAGCAGUGGGGAAUAUUGGACAAUGGGCGAAAGCCUGAUGCAGCCAUGCCGCGUGUGUGAAGAAGGUCUUCGGAUUGUAAAGCACUUUAAGUUGGGAGGCGUUACCAACAGAAUAAGCACCGGCUAACUUCGUGCCAGCAGCCGCGGUAAUUC